UCUUUUUUUUUUUUUUUUGGGGGGGGUGCUUUGCUCUGCAAUAACCAACACUUAAAAAAGCACAAGUUCCAACUGGGAGUGACUUAAGACAUGGUGUUUGUUAAGCCACAGGCAAAUUUAAGUUAUUGGGGAUCUCAACUAGCCUUCCUUCCAUCAUCCUAUUUCAAUUCUCACCGCGGCGCAAAUGUUCUGCUUACUGCUGUGUGAAGCUAUGACCACCAUGUCCACAUGAUGGACGAAGCAUGGGGAAGCAGUUAUUGCUCAUAAAGCUCAGACAAGUGCUGCUGAAGGUGGUGCUUCUUAGGUGCCUGUGGCCAGGGCUGCUGCAGCCCCUCAUGCCAGUGCCAGGAAGCCCAGCAGAUGGAGGCUGGGUGUUCUGGUGCACAAAUACAGCAAAUACGGUGCAGCAGCCUCUGUGAGGCUGCUGAAGAAAUGGGGCUCAGAGAGAGGUAAAAAAACAUCUUCAGUCGCCUUGCCUUGGGUGCAGAGCUGUCUCAGGCAGCACUUGGCACAGGCACACACUGCACUCAGCCAGCCUGAAACCAGCGGCUGCUCUCAGCUGGGUGAGGGAAAGAAUCCAGAGAGGCUUAAGCUCACAUAUAUGUUGAUAAGGGAGCACCAGGACUGGAAGUACCAGGGCAGACUGUGACUGCAUGGCAGAUCUUAAUUUCUCUGUCCAUAGCAUGUAUCUAUGUAUCAGCCAUGAUUUUAAACCAUUGAGCAGUGGAGAAUUCGCUGCUUCUUUUGGGAGGUUUUUUCUUACAGCUACUUACUGCGAUAACUUGUCCGAGCAGCUGAACAUUGUGGGCCUUUUUCCUGUUGGAAUUGCUCAAAUGUCAGCUCUGUCUCAUUCAUAAUUUUCAGGUCUUUCUCUUCCUGAUUAAGGACCCUGUAUUCUAAUAGUAUUCUCUCCUUGCUUCUACUUGCACACUGUGGUCGGUGUCAGUGUUUGCUAAGUAGAAGAGCCAAGUUCUAAUUCAUUUCUCUUUCACUCUCUAGUUUUAAACUUAAAAAAAAAAAAAAAAAAAAAAAAAAAAAAAAAAAGGAGAGAGGAAGACCUUCAGUGAAAAGAUGAAUUCUGCUUUGGACUCAUGAUGUCCAAACUUGUCUCUCCAUCCUGGAUAUGGGUGCUACAAGGCUGAGAAACCACUGCCUGCCAAGCUCUCCAAUGGUGCCCGAGAUCAGCAUGUUCUUUAAUAGUGUUGGGGUUAUUUUUGUUACUGAUUUUGUAUCCAUGGCACAGGUACAUAAGGACUGUCUCAUCAAAAAUGCUGGAAAUCUCAGACCGUCGCUGCUUCUGGCCAGCCCCCAGCUGUGUGCAUUUUCAUGCAAAAACAGCCCAACUUGCUUGUCCCAGCCUGGCAGCCAGGAGCAGGAACCUGAGAGGGGCAAGCGCUGGAAGAGACAACAGCAGCAUUUGCAGAAAUUGUCUCGUCUCAAGCUGUCCCUGUCUGCAAAGUUGCAAAAUGCACACGUUGAUCUGUAUCAGUUCAAGAUACUGUGUGUGUGUGAACUGCCACAGCACUCAGGCAAUGGCUUUUUUAAGGCACAAGUGCCUCCAUGGUGUAGGUGUGAGAGGGGAAGAAUCUGUCCAGGACCUUGUUGGAUGCUUUUACUCAUGACCUGUAAGCCAGAGGCAGGAGUCUGCCGAUAAGUUACGGUGAAGCUGGCACCAGUGAAGGUGGCGACCUGCCUGCUACACAGGAAGAAUGGGGCACCUCAGGAACCAGAGUGAUAAAAAUGAGAAUAGAUUUAAUAGUAGGAGGUUGGACAUGUAAGGGCUGUCACCUUGUGCUCUGAACUGGGGCUCAACACUUGGAAAUAAGAGCAGGUGAACAAGAGUGUGUGAGUCCAUCACAUGCUACCAACCAGCCCUUGGUCUGCUGUGGGUACACAGCCAUGACCUGUGGGUCAUUGUGUUUGCUGCAGCAGGAGGGAAUUCUUAGUUCCACUGCAGGAGGGACAGUGAGUUCUGGAGAGCUGCAAAUGGUGCUUUCCCCAUGCUGGCAAAUCCAGGCUGGAUUAGGCAUGGAGAUACAGGGCUACAGUACAGCCAUAGGAAUCCUGCAGAGGAAUGACCCCAGUUUUUCACCAUGGUCUGGAGCAAUGUAGCAGACAGUGGACCCAGCCACAUGACAAGAAAUGCCAGAUUUAAACCUCAGACAUCCUGUACACAAUGAAAGAGGAAGACAUGGUGGGAAACUCUGCCUUUCUCUCCUGGGCUGCAUAGGAAUGAGCCUUGAAAGAAUCUCCAUCUUGCUUCAGCUCCUUUCCUCUCUCUCACUUCCACUGAGGUGGUUUCUCAUGGUAACUAAUCACUUGUCAAGUAUUUCCCAGUGCAGUGACACCUCUGCUCAGUGCCGACCAGACCAGAAACACUGUACAGGGGGCAGAGGGGGUCCGAUGCCAUCAGUGCUGGGAAGGAAGCUGGUUUCUGUCAUUCCCGCUGGGAGAAGGUUCCCCUGACCAGUGUGAUGGCGAUGCACCAGUCGGAGAUCCAGCUCAGUGCUGGUGCAGUCCCUAAAGCAGGGUGCCUUAUGUCACCACGCUGCACUUCUGUGCAGCUCCAGCGUUUUGGGGCAUUGUGUCACCCUUCCUCCUGUAGUGGGCCAGAUGUGCUCCAUGCCCACCCGGGGAAGCCAGCCACUCCUGCAGGAUGUGGCUUUCCUCACAGAGCCACUGCAUCCCAUUUGCAUUCGGGUGAGCAGACCAGAUAGCCAGAGCACAUCGCCAUGGGAGGUAAGGUCCUGAACCUUGGGCAUGGUCCAGCCCCAGUUCCAGGUGAUGGGUGGACUGAGGGAGUUGGCAAUUACACAUGGUUAACUUGUUCUGAAAAGGACUGGAUUCCUUUGUUUGAGACAUCACCAACAGACACAGCCCAGACCACCCAAGAGCCCUGUGUGAUGCUACUAGGUUUGCCUCCAAGUAACGUGCCUAUAGGGACCCCUGUGAGGGUCCUACCAUGAGUGAGGUCCUGUCCCACCACAGACAGCAGUCCCGCCGUCCCGGCUCUCCCUUACCUCCAUGUCCAAGAGCAGUGGAUGGCAUCCAGUGCUUGGAAAGAAGGAAAAACUAGGAAUGUGCCCAGCUGCUGUCCAGUUGUCUUACCUGCAUGAGGAAGAGCCUUUGUGUCCUCAAGGCUUGCGAGCGGAGGAGAGGCUUUUAACCCUGCGAGGGCCCUUGGGGAGAGGCUUUCACAGGUAGCUUGUGUUCAGAGGCAGGAGCAAGCAGCAGAGGAGCAUCCCCCCAGUCAGCCUGCACAAGUGGUGCUUGCACCUACAGCAUAAAGCCCUCCUGGCAUAGGACCCACCUUGAUCUCCUGUUCUGCUCUGGGCUGUGCAAAAUGCAAACUGUGAGAGAAACAGUGUUGUUUUCGCAUAAUUGGGGCUGGGGCUUUGUAAUAUUAAGGCUUUACAAUAUUAGAGCUUUAAGAUCAAUAUUAAGGCUUUGCAAUAUUAAGAUUUUUCAGUACUGGGGCUGGGGCUAAGUUACUAAAUGAACGAAACAAAGGGUUUGAGAUACCAUAACCUAGAAAGACAUGCUCUGUAGUUAAAGACAAUAUCAUGUCUGGAUGAAAGAUACACUUUGUGGUUAAAAAGAAUACUAUCUUUGUACCAUCUAUGAAACUAAGCAGGUGCAGGCUGGUUAAACAGUAAGUUGGGGUGCCACAUCUGCCAGAGAGUUAUGAAAUCGAACCAUAAAAGGACAUAAAUAAAUAAGAGGAAGGGGCAUACAAAAUCAAGUAAGGGGAAGUGUAACCAGAGGUGGGACAGUCGGCACAUAGAUUAUACGUGUCGGAUAGGCUGUAAACCUUGGAGUACCCAAUCAAUGGGGAAACAAGGGAGGGAACUUGUGAACGGGAUAGGAAAUAUAAAUCAUAGUUCUGCUUUUGCUGUGUGUGCCUACUUGCCAGGACACCUGUUUUUGCACAAAUGUUAAUAAAUAGCUGCUUCACUG
ensembl:lncRNA